rnacentral:lncRNA from 1 species
ACCUUCCGCACCUGAGAUAAACGCUGAGGACGCAAGAGCGAUUUUACCAGAGGAAAACAGUCACAGAGCCGUCGCUGGACUCAUAUUAAACAGUACUGCGACAGAACGAAAAAGCAAGAUAAAAAUAGUAUGGCCGGAUCUUUUUUAAAAUGGGACCACUGCGCAAGUUACGCCUGCGUAUUGCAGGGAAGGACCGUAAAAGGCUGUGGUGCUGAUCAACGAAGGAUUUCUCGGAGAAAAUUCCUCCUUUGCGGAAAUGUCCGUAGAAACGCACCUUUUUUUUUUCCUGCCAGGACAAACCGCCGGCGAUAUCCGUUCAUGUGAAAGUGUUUACUAACAUUCUCUGAAGACUCACUGGGUUCUCAGCUCGAGAACGUUCCUGUCACAAGACGUUUAGGAGGCAGGAUGCCGGUACAAUGUAUUUAUGUUCUUGUAAACUGUUGCAUUAACAGUGCACUUCAAGUGGGCACAUUUGUCGUUGGAUUUUUUACCAACUCGAGCUUGGACUUUAGGACGGGGAAAAGAAGUGCUAAAUGUUUUUGAAUAAAACCUUUACUGCACAUGAUAAACAUCCCUUAAAAAUUACCUAGGAGCACCCUAAAUUUUAAAAUGAUCACAAAGACCUGGACAGAUUACAGUAAACCUUCAACAUCGCUAAACACACGUACCAUAAAUCAAAAGAAACACACUGCUAAUGAUCCGUUUUUUGAUGUGGAAAUAUCAUGCUGUUUUUAAGGGAAAUUAUACUUUAUUGCGAUGUUUUAUUUCAAAACAAGAUGUUACACUUUAUUUCCUAUAAUUUUAUUUACAAUAUUUUACACCCGUUAAGCAAAAAUCCCCCUACAUUGCUAUUCUGUUUUUUUUUAAUCAGUUCACUACUGUAGUAUCUUUUUGUUCUCCAUAUAUUUUUGAAAAAUACGCAAAAGGAAGUCUGUCCCAGGAAGUUUUCAAACCUCUCUUGGCCAGAGAACAUCAGUGGGAGUGAUUGGAGGCCCUGGAUGGGAAGUCCCGCCAAGCUGGAACAGCUGAGCCAUCCAAACAGCAAGGAUGACAACCUUCCCUUUCUCCUAAGAACUCUGCCCCAUUCAAGCUUGGCCCAACACUGUUGCCAGGGGCUGGCUGGAAUUCCAAGCUGGUGAGUCUUAUCCUAUGAGGUGCCAUGAAAGUGGGGCCCACAGAAGGAUGCUGCUCAGCUUCCUGGAUUCAGCUCUCUUCCUAAGGUUAUGUACAAAAAUCUUAUCUCUCACUUUGCCUGAGUUGCAGCUACCUUUGCUGGUGAUCCUGGACCCAAAGUGUGCCAGCCUCUCCUGAUACUCUGUGUGUACCUGAGCAGCUAUUCUGCCAAGACUUCACACAGCUCUGUGCAUGAAACCCAAGGCCUUAGUGAAGUGGGAUCAUGAGGGGAUCUCCUAACUGGAGUGUUAAAAGAUCCUUAGGAGAAACAUUGAGUAUUAUUUCCCAGGGUGUACAUUCGCUCACCACUUCCCUGUGUUAGGGGAGGUUCACUUGGCCACUUGUUACUCAUGUUGUUGUUAUUGUUUAAGUAUUUAUUUAGAUGAUCCAUUAGAUGAUCCAUUAAAUGCCCAAAGUGGGGUUUUGAAGUCGACAAUUAUUAUUGUGUUGGGGUCUAUCUCUCUCGUUAGCUUAAUAAUCUUUUCUUUGUAAAUCUUGAUUCUCCAGCAUUGGGUGCAUGUAAAUUUAAAAUUGUUAUAUCUUUUUGCUGAAUUGAUCCCCUUAUCAUCAUUUAAUGGCCUCACUUUUGUCUCGAAAUCUAUUUUACCUGAUAUAAGUAUAGCUACUGCUCCUCUAUUUUGGUUUCCGUUGGCACAUAUUUGUGUCCUUAUAAGGUGAGGUAAAUUCUCUUGUAGACAGCAUGUAGUUGUCUUCCCUUUUCAUUUAUUCACCUACUCUACAUCUUUUGGUUAAAAAAUUUAGUUUAUUUACAUUCAUUAUUAUAGAUGAGCAGGGACUUACUACUGACGUUUAUUUGUAUUUUUUUAUUAGUCAUUUUUUUCUUCAUGUCGUUUUAUACAAGUGACUUUUUUUUCUGCUUCUAGGGUUUAAUUUCUUUAUUUUUAUAUAUUGUGUAUCAAUUAUAGGUUUUGUAUAUGUGCUUACUAGUUUGCUUACAUAUAACAUGUUAUAACCAAUUAUUUUAAAUAAAAACAACUAUAAUCAAAAUUUUAAAACAUAGAAAAGUAAAAAUCUCUACACUUUAUAUUCUCCUCUGUUUUAUGUCUUUUGGUUGUCUUGUCUUUGUAUAUUAUCUGUCUCUUAAAUGAUGUAAUUAUCAGUUUUAACAUAUUGCUUCUUUAGUCUUUCUACUAAAGAUAUGAGUGGUUUGGACAACACGAUUGUAACAUUACAGUAUUUUCUACUUGUGUAUUUACUAGUAACAUUGAGUUUUAUAACUUCAGAUGACUUGUUGCUCAUUUCUGUUUUUUACUUUUCAGAUUUCAAACAUUUAGGUUCAAGGGAUGCAGAUGCAGGUUUGUUACAUGGAUAAACUGCAAGUUGUGUAGAUUUGGUGCACAGAUUAUCUUGUUACCCAAAUAAUGAGCACAGUAUGCUGUAAGCAGUUUUCUUUGCUCAGCCUCUUCUGGCCCUCCACCCUGAAGUAGAUCCUGUGUCCAUUAUUGUCUUAUUUCCAUGUGUACUCAGUUUUAAGCUUAUACAUGUAAGUGAGAACAUGCUAUUUGGUUCUCUCUUCCUGUGUUAAUUUGCUUAGGAUAAUG